UUAAAGAUAAGCUAAAUAAGCUAAUGGGCUCAUACCUCAUUUAUGAGAGUAAAUCUCUCUCUUUUUA
rnacentral:tRNA from 3 species